GCACAUUAUGUAGACGUGGUGUCUAGAUAUAUUGUGUACCUACAGAGGCACUCUAAUGUGCCGGGUCGUAUGGUAGUCCGCGUAGGUGACAGCUGCGUUAGUUCCUCUGUAGUCCACCUCCCGUAUGUAGGACUAUCCUCAUUAGUUGAUGCUCCUUAUGAUGUUUUCUGAGUUUAUCACACUAUAGAUGAAAAUGUGUAGCAUAGCGUAGGCUGUAGACUUUAUAUUAGUAAUUACAUAAGUUUCUUUUAUUUUAUUUGAAU
rnacentral:lncRNA from 1 species